GUUUGAUCAUGGCUCAGGAUGAACGCUAGCUACAGGCUUAACACAUGCAAGUCGAGGGGAAACGACAUCGAAAGCUUGCUUUUGAUGGGCGUCGACCGGCGCACGGGUGAGUAACGCGUAUCCAACCUGCCCAUCACUUGGGGAUAACCUUGCGAAAGUAAGACUAAUACCCAAUGAUAUCUCUAGAAGACAUCUGAAAGAGAUUAAAGAUUUAUCGGUGAUGGAUGGGGAUGCGUCUGAUUAGCUUGUUGGCGGGGUAACGGCCCACCAAGGCGACGAUCAGUAGGGGUUCUGAGAGGAAGGUCCCCCACAUUGGAACUGAGACACGGUCCAAACUCCUACGGGAGGCAGCAGUGAGGAAUAUUGGUCAAUGGACGAGAGUCUGAACCAGCCAAGUAGCGUGCAGGAUGACGGCCCUAUGGGUUGUAAACUGCUUUUAUAAGGGAAUAAAGUGAGCCUCGUGAGGCUUUUUGCAUGUACCUUAUGAAUAAGGACCGGCUAAUUCCGUGCCAGCAGCCGCGGUAAUACGGAAGGUCCGGGCGUUAUCCGGAUUUAUUGGGUUUAAAGGGAGCGUAGGCCGGAGAUUAAGCGUGUUGUGAAAUGUAGACGCUCAACGUCUGCACUGCAGCGCGAACUG
rnacentral:rRNA from 1 species